rnacentral:rRNA from 1 species
GACGAACGCUGGCGGCGUGCCUAACACAUGCAAGUCGAACGGGACUCAGUGGAAUGCGGCUUCGGCCAAAGGAAGCUGAGUUUAGUGGCGAACGGGUGAGUAACGCGUGAGGAACCUGCCUUUCAGUGGGGGACAACAGUUGGAAACGACUGCUAAUACCGCAUAACAUACUCGGGGGACAUCCCCUGGGUAUCAAAGCUUUAUGUGCUGAAAGAUGGCCUCGCGUCUGAUUAGCUAGUUGGUGAGGUAACGGCUCACCAAGGCGACGAUCAGUAGCCGGUCUGAGAGGAUGAACGGCCACAUUGGGACUGAGAUACCGGCCCAGACUCCUACGGGAGGCAGCAGUGGGGAAUAUUGGGCAAUGGGGGAAACCCUGACCCAGCAACGCCG